rnacentral:rRNA from 1 species
GAGAGCAAGCGGACCUCAUAAAGUGCGUCGUAGUCCGGAUUGGAGUCUGCAACUCGACUCCAUGAAGUCGGAAUCGCUAGUAAUCGUGGAUCAGAAUGCCACGGUGAAUACGUUCCCGGGCCUUGUACACACCGCCCGUCACACCAUGGGAGUGGGUUGCAAAAGAAGUAGGUAGCUUAACCUUCGGGAGGGCGCUUACCACUUUGUGAUUCAUGACUGGGGUGAAGUCGUAACAAGGUAACCGUAGGGGAACCUGCGGUUGGA